AAAGGAUUAGUUAAUAAUAUAACAUUAGAAUGUCAAACUAAAAUAAUCAUAAAGAUAUCCUUUU
rnacentral:tRNA from 3 species